rnacentral:rRNA from 1 species
AGUGAACGCUGGCGGUAGGCCUAACACAUGCAAGUCGAACGGCAGCACAGUAAGAGCUUGCUCUUACGGGUGGCGAGUGGCGGACGGGUGAGGAAUACAUCGGAAUCUACUUUUUCGUGGGGGAUAACGUAGGGAAACUUACGCUAAUACCGCAUACGACCUACGGGUGAAAGCAGGGGAUCUUCGGACCUUGCGCGAUUGAAUGAGCCGCUGUCGGAUUAGCUAGUUGGCGGGGUAAAGGCCCACCAAGGCGACGAUCCGUAGCUGGUCUGAGAGGAUGAUCAGCCACACUGGAACUGAGACACGGUCCAGACUCCUACGGGAGGCAGCAGUGGGGAAUAUUGGACAAUGGGCGAGAGCCUGAUCCAGCCAUACCGCGUGGGUGAAGAAGGCCUUCGGGUUGUAAAGCCCUUUUGUUGGGAAAGAAAAGCAGCAGGUUAAUACCCCGCUGUUCUGACGGUACCCAAAGAAUAAGCACCGGCUAACUUCGUG